rnacentral:snRNA from 1 species
ACGCUUUGGCAGCACACCUACUAAAAUGAGAACAAUGCAAAGAUUAGCAUGGCCCCAUGCACAGGGAUGACAUGAAAAUUAGUGGAGCAUUCCAUUUUUUU